rnacentral:rRNA from 1 species
GACGGCCAUACUACAUGCUGAAUAUACCGGUUCUCAUUAGAUCACCGAAGGCAAGCAUCAUUGGGCGCGAUCAGUACUUGUGUGGGUGAUCACCUGGGAACACCGCGUGCCGUU